rnacentral:rRNA from 1 species
ACGAACGCUGGCGGCGUGGCUAAGACAUGCAAGUCGAACGGACCUGUUAAUUUAUUAGCAGGUUAGUGGCGAAAGGGUGAGUAAUGGAUAGGUAACGUGCCCCGUGCUCUGGGAUAGCCAUCCGAAAGGGUGGGUAAUACCGGAUGAUAUCACCGGCUGACGGGUCGGUGAUCAAAGAUUUAUCGGCGCGGGAGCGGCCUAUCUCCUAUCAGCUAGUUGGUGAGGUAAUGGCCCACCAAGGCGAUGACGGGUAGCGGGACUGAGAGGUUGGCCCGCCACAUCGGAACUGAGAUACUGUCCGGACCCCCACGGGGGGCUGCAGUAACGGAUAUUGGGCAAUGGGCGAAAGCCUGACCCAGCGACGCCGCGUGCGGGAGGAAGCCCUUCGGGGUGUAAACCGCUGUCAGGGACGUGAAAGUCCACUUCGGUGGAUUGAUCUAACCCAGAGGAAGUCACGGCUAACUCUGU